rnacentral:rRNA from 1 species
GUGAGGAAUAUUGGUCAAUGGAGGCAACUCUGAACCAGCCAUGCCGCGUGCAGGAAGAAUGCCCUAUGGGUUGUAAACUGCUUUUAUUUGGGAAUAAACCCCUCUACGUGUAGGGGGCUGAAGGUACCAAAGGAAUAAGGACCGGCUAACUCCGUGCCAGCAGCCGCGGUAAUACGGAGGGUCCGAGCGUUAUCCGGAAUCAUUGGGUUUAAAGGGUGCGCAGGCGGUUUUGUAAGUCAGUGGUGAAAUCCCGUAGCUCAACUACGGAACUGCCAUUGAUACUGCAGAACUUGAAUACAGUUGAAGUAGGCGGAAUGUGUAGUGUAGCGGUGAAAUGCUUAGAUAUUACACAGAACACCGAUAGCGAAGGCAGCUUACUAAACUGAGAUUGACGCUCAUGCACGAAAGCGUGGGGAGCGAACAGGAUUAGAAACCCCAGUAGUCC